rnacentral:lncRNA from 1 species
AUUCUCCUAAAAGUCCAUUUAUCUUUCCAAAAAGUGUUUUGUUUUCUCUAAAUGCUUUGUCUCUCCCUCACUUCCUUUGAAGAAGUCAUUUACUCUCCUAGAAGGGCCUCUCUGCCCUUCUUUGUCCCCUAUUAAGAUGGUAUAUAAGCUCUAAAUUCUAACCACCUAGGGUCAGUUAUUUGUGAAUUUCUCUUUCUUUCUCCCUCUCUCUGUGUGUGUGUACAUAUGUAAUUAAAUGUCUUUUUUCUCUUGCUAUCUUUGUUGUUUUAAUUUGCAGACUGUGAGGGCUGCCUGCUGCCU